rnacentral:rRNA from 1 species
CCUACGGGGGGCUGCAGUGAGGAAUAUUGGUCAAUGGACGCGAGUCUGAACCAGCCAAGUCGCGUGAGGGAAGACUGCCCUAUGGGUUGUAAACUUCUUUUAUCUGGGAGUAAAACACGCCACGCGUGCCCUUUCGUGAGUACCCGAUGAAUAAGCAUCGGCUAACUCCGUGCCAGCAGCCGCGGUAAUACGGAGGAUGCGAGCGUUAUCCGGAUUUAUUGGGUGUAAAGGGUGCGUAGGCGGGGUUGCAAGUCAGAUGUGAAAGUUUUGGGCUUAACCGUUAAAUUGCUUUUGAAACUGUAAGUCUUGAGUACAGUAGAGGUAGGCGGAAUUCGUGGUGUAGCGGUGAAAUGCGUAGAGAUUGGGAAGAACACCAGUGGCGAAGGCAGCCUACUGGGCUUCAACUGACACUGAGGCACGAAAGCGUGGGUAGCAAACAGGAUUAGAUACCCGAGUAGUC